rnacentral:rRNA from 1 species
CCUAGGGGUGGCAGCAGUGGGGAAUAUUGGACAAUGGGCGAAAGCCUGAUCCAGCCAUGCCGCGUGUGUGAAGAAGGCCUUCGGGUUGUAAAGCACUUUCAGUGGGGAAGAAAGCCUUGGGGCUAAUACCCUCGAGGAAGGACAUCACCCACAGAAGAAGCACCGGCUAACUCCGUGCCAGCAGCCGCGGUAAUACGGAGGGUGCGAGCGUUAAUCGGAAUUACUGGGCGUAAAGCGCGCGUAGGCGGUCUGAUAAGCCGGUUGUGAAAGCCCCGGGCUCAACCUGGGAACGGCAUCCGGAACCGUCAGGCUAGAGUGCAGGAGAGGAAGGUAGAAUUCCCGGUGUAGCGGUGAAAUGCGUAGAGAUCGGGAGGAAUACCAGUGGCGAAGGCGGCCUUCUGGACUGACACUGACGCUGAGGUGCGAAAGCGUGGGUAGCAAACAGGAUUAGAUACCCCAGUAGUC